UUUAGAGCGGACCGUCGACUUCUCUCUCCAUCUUAUCUCUAAUGCGAUUACAUAAAGCUAUAUUUCCUCCAGCCCGGACGGCGCAUACCAGCUACUGGAAACCCCUCUAGUUUGGUUUUCUCUCUUUAAGCUGCCGCUCCAUCUAUCAUGAUCUCCUUCGAUAUGCUCGUCAUCCUGGAAUAGAGUUUGAUUUAGGGGAAAUGCUUCGCUGUAGAGGGGCUUCGACUCUGGUGGUCCCUCAGCUUUCUCUAGAAUUAUGGCGAGGGGGUUGAGUGGUAGGUGGUGGUUGCGGUCGGCUUUUGGGGUUAAGGUUGAGAUCAAUUUUCUCUUUCAGAUCUCGUCAGGCGUUCUUAGUCAGUGAGGAGGAGAGACGGUGGGUCUUCUCAAGAUAUGCGGUGGUUCGCUGCUUCUGAUCAUUUGGCUUGGGAAGGGGUCUCUUGUUGGUUCGUUGAGCUUAGGUGGUUUUCUCCUUAGCUGUGGUGUGUGCUGGUGGGUCUCUUUACCACGGCGGCGAGUUUGUGUGCUUGAACACGCAGGUGGAUUGGAGCUCGAGCUCAGUGGCCCGCUCGCGUAGGUCAUGUUAUCGGUUUUAAAAGGUGCUCUUCUAUGCCGUUUCAGUGGCAGCUAGCAGUGCAUAAUCACCUUCGAACCUUCUCUUCGCGGUUCAUGCUCCGUGUGGUUGUGCCAUGUUUCUAUUUCCCAUCUUUGAUGAUGGCUCUAGCAGCACCAGUUUUAGUUCGUCGGUUCUCGGCGGCUACGGAUGUGUGGUGGUUCUUGAGUCUUUUACCGCCACAUUCUAAAUCGGUAUUCGCUCACGUCCCAACAUCACAUAGAUUUGCUUGAGCUUCUUGUGGUGGUGUGUGUAACAAUUGUGUGCAGUUUGGGCUCGGGGUAGGGAGUACGAAGGAUGCAGCCUUUUUUGCUCGGAGCAGCAUUUUGUGCAGGCGGGUGCUAUGAAGCCCUAGGCGAGAUGUUCUCGGCUGGGCCAUUAUCUUUAAGAGCAGAUCACUGAGGAGGCC